ACGAACGCUGGCGGCGUGCUUAACCCCUGCCAGUCGAACGGAAAGGCCCUGCUUUUGUGGGGUGCUCGAGUGGCGAACGGGUGAGUAACACGUGAGUAACCUGCCCUUGACUUUGGGAUAACUUCAGGAAACUGGGGCUAAUACCGGAUAGGAGCUCCUGCUGCAUGGUGGGGGUUGGAAAGUUUCGGCGGUUGGGGAUGGACUCGCGGCUUAUCAGCUUGUUGGUGGGGUAGUGGCUUACCAAGGCUUUGACGGGUAGCCGGCCUGAGAGGGUGACCGGCCACAUUGGGACUGAGAUACGGCCCAGACUCCUACGGGAGGCAGCAGUGGGGAAUAUUGCACAAUGGGCGGAAGCCUGAUGCAGCAACGCCGCGUGCGUGAUGACGGCCUUCGGGUUGUAAACCGCUUUCGCCUGUGACGAAGCGUGAGUGACGGUAAUGGGUAAAGAAGCACCGGCUAACUACGUG
rnacentral:rRNA from 1 species